GGAAGUAAAAGUCGUAACAAGGUUUCCGUAGGUGAACCUGCGGAAGGAUCAUUACUGAUUUAGCGAACCGAGCGUUAGCGAGGUUUUGCGAUCAACUUGUAUUUAAAACCCACUCUUCAAUGUAUAAAAUUUGUAUUAAUGAUAAAUUAAAAGAUCACUUUCAACAACGGAUCUCUUGGCUCUCGCAUCGAUGAAGAACGUAGCGAAGUGCGAUAAGUAAUGUGAAUUGCAGUAUUCCGUGAAUCAUCGAACCUUUGAACGCAUAUUGCACUUUCUGGUAUUCCGGAAAGUAUGCCUGUUUGAGGGUCAGUUAGAUAAAAAUCGGUGUUGUUGCCGCUUUCCGUGGUGACGCGUCGGAAUUGAGUUGUCUUACCUUCGGUUAAGUGACUUAAAAUUUUGUAUGAUUUUCGAACGUAUUUAAAUUUAUUUGAACGUUUGAUAUCGAAUGCUUAUUAGGUUCGGUCAUUCUAAUGACUCGCGCCUAUAGUUUUUCAUUAAAUGACCUCAAAUCAGGUAAGAAUACCCGCUGAACUUAAGCAUAUCAAUAAGCGGAGGA
rnacentral:rRNA from 1 species